rnacentral:misc_RNA from 1 species
UCCGGCUUUCACCGGCUGUCCCGUGCAUGUCAAGCCCUGGUAAGGUUCUUCGCGUAGCUUCGAAUUAAACCGCACGCUCCGCUGCUUGUGCGGGCCCCCGUCAAUUCCUUUGAGUUUUAGCCUUGCGGCCGUACUCCCCAGGCGGUCAACUUCACGCGUUAGCUUCGUUACCAAGGGAAUCAAUCCCCCGACAACCAGUUGACAUAGUUUAGGGCGUGGACUAC